AACCAAACCGUACCAUUCACAUCUAUGAUCCGAGUUGAUAUUUCGGAAGGAAAAUGUUAACCUUCAAAGUGAUUUUUUUGACAAUGUCAAUGUCAGUACUUUCCCGGCUCGCCACUGGUUUGAAACAAAUUAGGUACAGCAACUGUUCAAGUUGUGUAGCUAGCGUGUCACCAUCGUUUUUGAAAAAAAUGGAAUACAAAACCGUCGAGAGGGGCUCCCCAUAUUCUCCAGAUUACAGGGUCUAUAUCUAUGAUAACAAUGGCCCUAUUUCUCCAUUGCAUGAUAUUCCACUGGUUGUGGAUGCCAACAAGAAAAUUUUCAAUAUGGUUGUGGAAAUACCCAGAUGGACAAAUGCUAAAAUGGAGAUAACAAUGAAGGAAAUACUGAACCCAAUUAAGCAGGAUAUUAAAAAAGGAAAACCUAGGUUUGUAGCAAAUUGCUUCCCACACAAGGGUUAUAUCUGGAAUUAUGGUGCUCUACCUCAAACAUGGGAAAAUCCUGAGCAUUUAGAUGAUGGAACUGGUUGUAAAGGAGAUAAUGAUCCAAUCGAUGUUAUCGAAAUCGGUCAUAGGGUUUGUAAGAGAGGAGAAGUCAUCCCAGUUAAAAUCAUCGGUACCAUAGCUUUAAUAGAUGAAGGGGAAACUGAUUGGAAAUUAAUUGCAAUCAAUGUCAAUGAUCCUAUGGCUGAUCAAAUCAAUGAUGUCGCCGAUGUGGAGAAACAUUUCCCUGGCCUAUUGAAAGCUUCUGUUGAGUGGUUCAAAAUUUAUAAGAUUCCUGAUGGUAAACCAGAAAAUCAGUUUGCUUUCAAUGGAGAGGCUAAAAAUGCACAAUUUGCUCUUAAAAUUGUUGACGAGGUUCAUAAGUUCUGGAAAUCUCUCGUUAAUAAGGAGGUAGAAGCUAAUGGAAUAUCAUGUAUCAACACAUCCAUUGAAGAUAACGAUUUCAAAAUUAGUCAAAGCGAAGCUCUGGAAGUCGUGAAUAAAACUCCAGCUCUAGGAGCUCCUCAUGAUAUUGAAUCAAUAGUUGACAAAAUUUAUUAUUUCACACAUUCGUGCAGAUGUAAAUUGUAAUUGUAUGAAGUCAAUCCAAUGAAGAAUAAGAAUAUUUGGUUGGCGCUCAUCUUGUGAUCAGAAAAAAUUGACAAGUGGCACUACGUUCAUCUUAAGUAGGAUGACCUCCCACUCCAAAUCCCAACACCAGGCAUGGCAUUUUUUUUUGCUGAUUUAUAGCUGUAAUACAAAAAUAAAAAGAAUAAUUAAGA